rnacentral:rRNA from 1 species
GAUGAACGCUGGCGGCGUGCCUAAUACAUGCAAGUCGAGCGAACAGACGAGGAGCUUGCUCCUCUGACGUUAGCGGCGGACGGGUGAGUAACACGUGGAUAACCUACCUAUAAGACUGGGAUAAUUUCGGGAAACCGGAGCUAAUACCGGAUAAUAUAUUGAACCGCAUGGUUCAAUAGUGAAAGACGGUUUUGCUGACACUUAUAGAUGGAUCCGCGCCGCAUUAGCUAGUUGGUAAGGUAACGGCUUACCAAGGCAACGAUGCGUAGCCGACCUGAGAGGGUGAUCGGCCACACUGGAACUGAGACACGGUCCAGACUCCUACGGGAGGCAGCAGUAGGGAAUCUUCCGCAAUGGGCGAAAGCUUGACGGAGCAACGCCGCGUGAGUGAUGAAGGUCUUCGGAUCGUAAAACUCUGUUAUUAGGGAAGAACAAAUGUGUAAGUAACUAUGCACGUCUUGACGGUACCUAAUCAGAAAGCCACGGCUAACUACGUG